UGUAGUCUUUUUUCAGUGAAUGUUUUUUCCAAUUUUAGCUUAUUUCUCUUUCAUACAUUAACUGGUUUUGAUGCCCCCUUUUCCUUUAAUAGUAUGACCUUUGUAUAGUGGACCACAAAUUCUAAAAUUACUUUUUAUUCAUUUCUCCACUUACAAAGGUUAGUAUACCAUCAGCCUGUCGGAUUUGCCCCAUUCACUGUGUCAAAGCCAUUGUCAUUUCACAUGAUGCAUUUUUUUUAUAGAUUUCUUCACAAAAGCCUUCCAUGUUUGUAAAUAGACACGUGCAAUUCGUUUCUGUCCAAAUUAAAAUUCCGACGAAUUUCGGCAAUUCCGACUUUCGGAUGCUUCCGAAUGUCUGAAUUGCUGAAGUGCCGAAUUUCGGAAGUGUCGAUCCAAAACAAACUGCCAAAGUCCC